ACUACGGUGGCCCUGAGGUGCAAAACACAAUGGCAAAUCAGAAACACAACACAAAAAGAGUAAACACAACGGCAAAUCAGAAAACACAACACAAAAAGAGUAAACACAACAGCAAAUCAGAAAACAUAAUGUCAUUAACCACGGUGGUCUUCUGAUCUGCUGUUGUAUUUUCUCUUUUUGUGUUGUGUCUUCUGAUUUGCCGUUGUGUUUUGCACCUCAGGGCCACCAUAG